UACGAAGGGGGCUAGCGUUGCUCGGAAUUACUGGGCGUAAAGCGCACGUAGGCGGCUCUUUAAGUCGGGGGUGAAAUCCUGGAGCUCAACUCCAGAACUGCCUUCGAUACUGGAGAGCUCGAGUCCGGGAGAGGUGAGUGGAACUGCGAGUGUAGAGGUGAAAUUCGUAGAUAUUCGCAAGAACACCAGUAGCGAAGGCGGCUCACUGGCCCGAUACUGACGCUGAUGCACGAAAGCUAGGGGAGCAAACAGG
rnacentral:rRNA from 1 species